AACGAACGCUGGCGGCAGGCUUAACACAUGCAAGUCGAACGCCCCGCAAGGGGAGUGGCAGACGGGUGAGUAACGCGUGGGAACAUACCCUUUCCUGCGGAAUAGCUCUGGGAAACUGGAAUUAAUACCGCAUACGCCCUACGGGGGAAAGAUUUAUCGGGGAAGGAUUGGCCCGCGUUGGAUUAGCUAGUUGGUGGGGUAAAGGCCUACCAGGGCGACGAUCCAUAGGUGGUCUGAGAGGAUGAUCAGCCACAUUGGGACUGAGACACGGCCCAAACUCCUACGGGAGGCAGCAGUGGGGAAUAUUGGACAAUGGGCGCAAGCCUGAUCCAGCCAUGCCGCGUGAGUGAUGAAGGCCUUAGGGUUGUAAAGCUCUUUCACCGAUGAAGAUAAUGACGGUAGUCGGAGAAGAAGCCCCGGCUAACUUCGUGCCAGCAGCCGCCGUAAAAC
rnacentral:rRNA from 1 species